UUCCAGUUUGCGCUUAAUCUUCGAACUUUGGAGAGCGGGGGAACCAUGCACGAUGCUGUGAGGAAUUUGCGGAUCACAUUGCACGCGCACCUGAAUUUCUUCUAGGGGUGAAUUUGGCGGGGAUUGCCAUGAGCAUUCUUCCGACGAUAGGGCAGCUCUCUUGCCCGAACCCGACAGCUAACCUCGUAAGCGUUUAUAGAGAGUGAUC
rnacentral:sRNA from 2 species